rnacentral:rRNA from 1 species
CCUACGGGGGGCAGCAGUGGGGAAUAUUGGACAAUGGGGGGAACCCUGAUCCAGCCAUGCCGCGUGUGUGAAGAAGGCCCUCGGGUUGUAAAGCACUUUCAGUGAGGAAGAACGCCUGGUGGUUAAUACCCAUCAGGAAAGACAUCACUCACAGAAGAAGCACCGGCUAACUCCGUGCCAGCAGCCGCGGUAAUACGGAGGGUGCGAGCGUUAAUCGGAAUUACUGGGCGUAAAGCGCGCGUAGGUGGCUUGAUAAGCCGGUUGUGAAAGCCCCGGGCUCAACCUGGGAACGGCAUCCGGAACUGUCAAGCUAGAGUGCAGGAGAGGAAGGUAGAAUUCCCGGUGUAGCGGUGAAAUGCGUAGAGAUCGGGAGGAAUACCAGUGGCGAAGGCGGCCUUCUGGACUGACACUGACACUGAGGUGCGAAAGCGUGGGUAGCUAACAGGAUUAGAUACCCGUGUAGUC